AGAGAGAGAGAGAGAGAGAGAGAAAGAAAAACUAAAUAGGAAACAUGUUUCUUCGUUGUCUCCUGCCCCAAGACUACUCUUGUGCUCUUGAUCUAGGACAGUGGUUCUCAGAGUGGAAUCUCCAGACCAGCAGCAUAGGCAUCAAUCAAGGGAAGUUGUUUAAAUGCUAAGUCACCAGUAGCUACACCCAGAACUCUUGAACUAGAAGCUUUGGGGAUAGGGCCAAGCAGUCUGCCUUAAGCAAGCCUUCCAGGAAACUGUGAUGUUCCUAUCAUGGGAGAAUCAUUAUUUCACAAGUAAACUACCCAGAAAGUCAUGCUCACCAGUUUUCUUUGGCUCCACAAAAACAAAAACAAAACAAAAAAACAAAGACAAAAGCUUCCAUUGGGGGUGACCCAGUGGAAGAGUGCAUUCUUGACAGUAUACAAAGCUAUGAAUUUAAUCUCCAACACCACAGACACACACAGACACACAGACAUACACACAGAGAGGGGGGGGUGGCCUUCAGACACUUCUUUGAGGCAUCUUUGAGGCCAGUUUAGUCACCCCUUGUGGGAAGAGGGUUUUAUUUGGUAUGUAUUGAUUACUACCAACUGUCCUGAAGAAAGUUUCAACUCUUUGCACUCAAAAGCCUGGUUUCUUCUUAGAGUGUGCCUCUAAGUUAAUGAAUUUAGGGCAAAACUCUUGGCCUAGUGGGUAUUAAUGAGAAAAAAAGGAGACAGGAUUUGUGGGAAAAACUGAGGCAGCCUUUGGAAUUCUAUAGUCCAUAGGUUGAAUUGACUCCAGAAUGAUGGCUGCAAACAUAGUAAACUCAUUUCUAGUCUGAAUGCUACUUUGUUUCUUCCCUUCCAGAACCAGAGAGUGAAGUUUAGGUACAAGGGAACUGACCUUGGGGGGUGACCUUUUUUUCCCGUCCCACCUCACCAUCAACUUGCUAUGUCUUAGGCAAGUCAAACAUCUUUGUUCCCAUGAACGUCAAAUUAGAGGGGAGACACUAUAAGGUGACAAGAGGACAUGAUACCUUAGGACUCUCAUAAACUGACCUCAUUAAAAACUCCUAAGAUGUCCUCCCAUUCCAAGAGCUUUCCGUACUACUCUGAGUUAACUGCUUCUUCCUAGCCGGUACGUCCCGCCUGAUCUCACCGCCAUCAUUUCCCUUGCAGGGAAUCGUGCUCGUUGUAGAGUGGAACAGAGCCUUCCCUGGCACCGUGUGUCUCCCAGGGUUGGUUUCGCCAUGGCAGCCCUCAGUCGAGCUUGGCUACAGGAGCCCAAAUUGCCAGUAAGAGUUUCACUGGCCUGGGCCUUGUGUGCUGAAGGUGGGAGCAGCUGGCUUGGGCUUCUCCCUCAAACUCUGGGUCUCUUAAGGCUUAGCUUCACCCAGCGUCUGGACUCUGCGGUUUUUACUUUCAAGACUCACAACCUUGGGAAGAAAAGCUUGUGAUUUCUCUUCCUGGGAUCACCAUUCUGAUUGUAAUAGCUGAGAAGUCACAUGCGGAAGCACAGAAAACACAUUGCCCCCACCUUUUAUUGAUUCUGAACCUGAAAAGAUGACGUCUUAGGUUCUAAUGGACAAAGACAAGAGACUCGAAGGCCUAUGAACCAAAAGCUGUUUUCUUGGUGGUCCUCAACUCUGGGAUUCUGUAAACCCAGGACUGAAGAACUCCUCUCAGGCUCAGCCCACUGUUCGUGGUCUACUUUGAGGCAGUAAGUAAGCCCUUUCCCAAGUGUGAGUGGUGCUGGCACCUCCUUACCACAGAGGACUUUGGGGGAAGACAGUGAUGGUGCCUCACAUCGUAAGUCUUUCUUAAUCUGUACGUAUGGUGGGGGUUGACAUAAAGAAUGAGGUCAGGUCAUUUGCAAGAAGGUGGAAGUAUUUGGGAAUCAUGACAUCACGUCUCAGAGAGACUAUGCCAUUUCUCAUAUGUGAAUACGAGUAUAUAAAGACUGUGUAUGUAUAUAUGGCAUGAAACAGAAUCAAAACUGUCUAGGGAAACAAAGGGAAUUAAUGAAAGGGGGAGGGGUGGGGAGGAGCAACGUGGGGAAAUACAAGAGGAGACCAUUGCUCAAUGUGCAAGACAUACUUGUGUGAAAAUGUCCUUAUGUAACAUGGCACCAUGAGUAUAGACAAUGGAAAAAUGUUAAAGAUUAUAAUAAAACUAAAAUGAAACAUGUAAAAAAAAAUGACAAUAUGGCAGCCUUAAAAAAACAAACCGGCGAAGAUAUGAGUCACAGGCUGUAAGAAAGUGAGCAGCAGAGGCUUGUGUCACGGGGUGUAGGGAAAUGAACCGAACCACCCAAGCCCACUCCUUUGCUUGCCUUGCUUAUUCUCCAAUGACAGUAAUUCCAAAAUUCUCCCUAGCAACUGCCUGUCCUCUCUUUGACCCAGUGAAGACAGGCAGCUAGGAAGAGAUGGCCUGUGGGAAGUUCCCUCUGCAUCCCAGUGUUUCUCCUCAAGUCUUGCUCCCCUCACACCCAGCUCCACCAGGGAACCAAGUUGGGGAAGGCCUUUCUGGUCUUGAUAGCUCUAGAUUAUUGGGGGUGUUCUGUAAUGAGACUGGUUCUACACUCAAAGUAGGAAAAUAUCCAACCUAUAUUUGGUUAAUCAAAUAAAACAGAAGUGACACACAUACCCUAGGAGAAAAAUGCUAAUUUUAAUUAAAAUUUUAACUUUAUCCUCAGCUUCAUUUUA